rnacentral:lncRNA from 1 species
UUAUAUUGUCUCUUUAUAAAUAACUUUCUAUCUAUUUCUGUGGAUUAUUCCUACAAAGUACUUUUCAUAUGUCCAGUUUCUUUUCUUCCCCUACAACUACCGUCUGAAUACUGGCUCUGCUAUUUGCUGAUAUGAUUCUCGGCAAGUUGCCUGCACUUUUUAAACUUUAUUUCCUCAUUCAGAACAUGGGGCCAUGUAAUACUCAUGUACGUGAGUAUUACGUAAUAAUGCUCACUUAAGUGUUACUGGGGAAUUAAACAAAAAAAUGCAUGGCAAGCAUUUAACAUAGUGCCUGACACAAUAAUGAGCACUCAGUAGAUGUUAGAUUUUAUUAAUAUUGUUGUUGUUAUGUCCGGAAACACUAUACCUCCAGAAAAUCAUGGGUACUUGCUUGGGAUGUUGGGGAUAUGCAUGAUUUGGAAAGAUGUCAUCACAAUGGAUCCCAAAGACAAUUGGUCAAAAGAUGCAAAUGAUACACUACUGCUGCAGCUCACAAACACCUCUGCAUAUUACACGUACCUCCUCCUGCUCCUCAAGAGUGUGGUCUAUUUUGCCAUCAUCACCUGCUGUCUGCUUAGAAGAACGGCUUUCUGCUGCAAUGGAGAGAAAUCAUAACAGACGGUGGCACAAGGAGGCCAUCUUUUCCUCAUCGGUUAUUGUCCCUAGAAGCGUCUUCUGAGGAUCUAGUUGGGCUUUCUUUCUGGGUUUGGGCCAUUUCAGUUCUCAUGUGUGUACUAUUCUAUCAUUAUUGUAUAAUGGUUUUCAAACCAGUGGGCACACAGAGAACCUCACUCUGUAAUAACAAUGAGGAAUAGCCAUGGCGAUCUCCAGCACCAAUCUCUCCAUGUUUUCCACAGCUCCUCCAGCCAACCCAAAUAGCGCCUGCUAUAGUGUAGACAGCCUGCGGCUUCUAGCCUUGUCCCUCUCUUAGUGUUCUUUAAUCAGAUAACUGCCUGGAAGCCUUUCAUUUUACACGCCCUGAAGCAGUCUUCUUUGCUAGUUGAAUUAUGUGGUGUGUUUUUCCGUAAUAAGCAAAAUAAAUUUAAAAAAAUGAAAAGUUGACUUUUGUCCAUGGUAUUUUAAUUGGAUGACAUCAAAUUGAACAUCCAAGGUAAGAAACA